GACGAACCGUACGAACGUUAUUCGGAAUCACUGGGCUUAAAGGGUGCGUAGGCGGCGCAGUAAGUUGGGUGUGAAAUCCCUCGGCUUAACCGAGGAAUUGCGCCCAAAACUACUGUGCUCGAGGGAGGUAGAGGUGAGCGGAACUUAGGGUGGAGCGGUGAAAUGCGUUGAUAUCCUAAGGAACACCGGUGGCGAAAGCGGCUCACU
rnacentral:rRNA from 1 species